UACGUAGGCAGCAAGCGUUGUUCGGAGUUACUGGGCGUAAAGGGUGUGUAGGCGGUUGUUUAAGUUUGGUGUGAAAUCCCCGGGCUCAACCCGGGAACUGCGUCCGAUACUGGAAGGCUUGAAUCCGGGAGAGGGAUGUGGAAUUCCAGGUGUAGCGGUGAAAUGCGUAGAUAUCUGGAGGAACACCGGUGGCGAAGGCGGCAUCCUGGACCGGCAUUGACGCUGAGGCGCGAAAGCCAGGGGAGCAAACGGG
rnacentral:rRNA from 1 species